GCUGCUGCUGUCCAUCCUGUUUGAUAGCCCCUUCCAGCUCUGAGAACUGGUGUUAUGGACACUGGUCCUCCCACGCCUGAGACCGACGUCGCCAGGACCGCGGGGUCGUGGGAACUUGGCUGUCCCCCGUCUUUCAAAUAAAGCUGUUUGUCUAAAAAAAAAAAAAAAAAAAAAAAUUAUAAAAAACAGCAACAACACAA